GGGCACAACCUUGAGAAAUCAGGGCUAAUUCCCCAUAACAUUGCGAAAGGGCAUCUGAUUGCAAUUAAAGAUUUAUCAGUUUGAGAUAGGCGUGCGUUCGAUUAGCUAGUUGGUAAGGUAACGGCCUACCAAGGCAACGAUCGAUAGCUGGUGUGAGAGCACGACCAGCCACACGGGCACUGAGAUACGGGCCCGACUCCUACGGGAGGCAGCAGUAAGGAAUAUUGGUCAAUGGACGAAAGUCUGAACCAGCCAUGCCGCGUGAGGGAUGAAGGUCCUCUGGAUUGUAAACCUCUUUUAUCUGUGAAUAAACGUCCUUUUUCUAAGGGACUUGAAGGUAAUAGAUGAAUAAGCACCGGCUAACUCCGUGCCAGCAGCCGCGGUAAUACGGAGGGUGCAAGCGUUAUCCGGAUUUACUGGGUUUAAAGGGUGCGUAGGUGGGUUGGGAAGUCAGUGGUGAAAUACUUUCGCUUAACGAAGGAACUGCCAUUGAUACUAUCAAUCUUGAAUGUAGUGGAGGUAGGCGGAAUGCGUCAUGUAGCGGUGAAAUGCUUAGAUAUGACGCAGAACACCAAUUGCGAAGGCAGCUUGCUACACUACUAUUGACACUGAGGCACGAAAGCGUGGGGAUCAAACAGGAUUAGAUACCCUGGUAGUCCACGCCCUAAACGAUGAUUACUCGAUCUCGGCGAUA
rnacentral:rRNA from 1 species